GCUGGCGUAGCUCAAUGGUAGAGCGCCUGAUUUGUAAUCAGGGGGUUGCGGGUUCGAGUCCCAUCGCCAGCUCCA
rnacentral:tRNA from 2 species